rnacentral:rRNA from 1 species
GGGCCCGCACAAGCAGUGGAUUAUGUGGUUUAAUUCGAAGCAACGCGAAGAACCUUACCGGGGCUUGACAUACCGCUAACGAAGUAGAGAUACAUUAGGUGCCUUUCGGGGAAAGCGGAUACAGGUGGUGCAUGGUUGUCGUCAGCUCGUGUCGUGAGAUGGUUGGGUUAAGUCCCGCAACGAGCGCAACCCUUACUGUUAGUUGCUACCAUUUAGUUGAGCACUCUAACGGGACUGCCGGUGACAAAUCGGAGGAAGGUGGGGACGACGUCAAAUCAUCAUGCCCCUUAUGUCCCGGGCUACACACGUAAUACAAUGGCAGGUAACAGAGGGAAGCAAUACCGCGAGGUGGAGCAAAUCCCUAAAAACUGUCUCAGUUCGGAUUGCAGGCUGAAACUCGCCUGCAUGAAGUCGGAAUUGCUAGUAAUCGCGGAUCAGCAUGCCG